rnacentral:lncRNA from 1 species
AAAGAAGUCCCAUCAGGCAAGAAGCAACACUCACCGCAGCUGCCACCAGUGCUCAGCCAGCCUGUGGACACUACGCCACCAGCACUGCAGCAGAACAAGACAGUGCAUGCCCAAAGUCACUGUGCAAACCCACCACCGUGCACACCCACAGACACUGUGCACACCCACGGCCACUGUGCACACCACCACCAUGCACACCCUCGGCCACUGUGCACACCCACUGUGCAUGCCCAUCACCAUGCACACCAACAGCGUGCACAUCUAGGCACUGUGCACGCCUACCACAGUGCACACCCACGGCCACUGUGCACGCCCAGCACCGUGCACACCCACUACUUUGCACACCCAUGGCCGCUGUGCACACCUAUGGCUACUACGCACACCCACAGCCACUGUGCACACACACCAACACUGCACACUUAUGACCACUGUGCACAUCUGUGGACACCAGGCACACUCAUGAGCCCAUGUGAUCCACAGCAGCUGUCAUGCACGCAGUUGUUGCACACGCCCACGUAGACACAAUGCCCAGUCCUCAUUUGUCUCCAGUUUCACACAAACACCAGCCGUUAACCUCUCUCUCGUCACCCACACGCCUCCAAUACAACUGUUCCUGCUCAGCUAGGUGGCGUGCAGGCAACGUCACCAUUGGAGCUGCCCAUGGACGUCUUGCUUCUGCACGGCCAUGCUGGAGGUGGCAGACAUGUCAGCGUCCCUGGGGAAGGCCACCUCACGGGCAGCUGCAACAGGGAGCAUAUUGGCCUUGCACUGUUAAUAGCAUAUUUUGCCAUUAAAGUAUGUAAUGAUGAAAUUGCAAUAUAUUUUUCAAUAAAAUCUCUGAUGUAUUCUUAUAUCACAUAAAUUUGUCCAAAGAUGGUGACAUUGAGCUCUGACCAAACCUUGUUGUUUUUUUUAACAAAUGCCCAUUUGGCCAAAACAUGUAUUAGGUGCUGCUUUACAUUGGUAACUUCAGGCUCACAUAUCCCAGAAUCAAGACCAUUUCCUAACCUAAUCGGCAACGUAAGCAAGGCCAAAGUGACAACAGG